GUAGGUGGCAAGCGUUGUCCGGAAUUAUUGGGCGUAAAGCGCGCGCAGGCGGUUCUUUAAGUCUGAUGUGAAAGCCCACGGCUCAACCGUGGAGGGUCAUUGGAAACUGGAGAACUUGAGUACAGAAGGGGAAAGCGGAAUUCCACGUGUAGCGGUGAAAUGCGUAGAGAUGUGGAGGAACACCAGUGGCGAAGGCGGCUUUCUGGUCUGUAACUGACGCUGAGGCGCGAAAGCGUGGGGAGCAAACAGGGAUUAGAUACCCUGGUAGUCCACGCCGUAAACGAUGAGUGCUAAGUGUUAGGGGGUUUCCCGCCCCUUAGUGCUGCAGCUAACGCAUUAAGCACUCCGCCUGGGGAGUACGGCCGCAAGGCUG
rnacentral:rRNA from 1 species